UACAGAGGUCCCAAGCGUUGUUCGGAUUCAUUGGGCGUAAAGGGCGCGUAGGCGGCCAGCGCAAGUCAGUUGUGAAAUCUCCGGGCUUAACUCGGAAAGGUCAACUGAUACUGCGCGGCUAGAGUGCAGAAGGGGCAACUGGAAUUCUUGGUGUAGCGGUGAAAUGCGUAGAUAUCAAGAGGAACACCUGAGGUGAAGACGGGUUGCUGGGCCGACACUGACGCUGACAGCGCGAAAGCCAGGGGAGCAAACGGG
rnacentral:rRNA from 1 species